UAGGGAAUAUUGGACAAUGGGGGCAACCCUGAUCCAACCAUGCCGCGUGAGUGAAGAAGGCCCUCGGGUUGUAAAGCUCUUUUGUCCGGAAAGAAAAGCUUCGGGUUAAUACCCCGGGGUUCUGACGGUACCGGAAGAAUAAGCACCGGCUAACUUCGUGCCAGCAGCCGCGGUAAUACGAAGGGUGCAAGCGUUACUCGGAAUUACUGGGCGUAAAGCGUGCGUAGGUGGUUGUUUAAGUCUGAUGUGAAAGCCCUGGGCUCAACCUGGGAAUGGCAUUGGAAACUGGGCAGCUAGAGUGCGGUAGAGGGUAGUGGAAUUCCCGGUGUAGCAGUGAAAUGCGUAGAGAUCGGGAGGAACAUCUGUGGCGAAGGCGACUGCCUGGACCAGCACUGACACUGAGGCACGAAAGCGUGGGGAGCAAACA
rnacentral:rRNA from 1 species